rnacentral:rRNA from 1 species
CCUACGGGAGACAGCCGUGAGGAAUAUUGGUCCAUGGGCGCGAGCCUGAACCAGCCAAGUAGCGUGAAGGAUGACUGCCCUACGGGUUGUAAACUUCUUUUAUAAAGGAAUAAAGUGAGGCACGUGUGCCUUUUUGUAUGUACUUUAUGAAUAAGGAUCGGCUAACUCCGUGCCAGAAGCCGCGGUAAUACGGAGGAUCCGAGCGUUAUCCGAAUUUAUUGGGUUUAAAGGGAGCGUAGAUGGGUUGUUAAGUCAGUUGUGAAAGUUUGCGGAUCAACCGUAAAAUUGCAAUUGAUACUGGCAGCCUUGAGUACAGUGGAGGUAGGCGGAAUGCGUGGUGUAGCGGUGAAAUGCUUAGAUAUCACGAAGAACUCCGAUUGCGAAGGCAGCGUACUAAACUGCCACUGACAUUGAUGCUCGAAAGUGUGGGUAUCAAACAGGAUUAGAUACCCCUGUAGUC